rnacentral:lncRNA from 1 species
CAAGUUAGUUGUUGGGGAUAUUUAAUAUUCCUAAAACAUGUUUAUUUUUUCCCUCAUUGCUGUUGAUUCAUUUAUUUUCUAGGUACAUUGAUUAAACACUCAAAUUUAAUGGUUAAUCUUAACCCAUAAAAUGACUGAUUAUGAUGGGAAUUUUGUUAAAUAUGGUAAUCCACUAAACAAUUUUAGUGUGCCUGUUGCAAGUCAGGAGCCAAUUUCCAAUGUCAGAUGGAGGGAGGGUUUAGUUUCUGAAACGGAAUUAACUUCUUUUUUACGUGAAUCGCCACUGUUUUCUUCCUUGUCUUUCGGUCUGUGGUUGAUAGAUGUCUCAUUUGCAGUUAUACCACAUGUAUUUAUUUUUAUUUAUUUGUGCACCUCACAAUCACUUAAAUUUAUUCUUUGAAUAAAGUUGACCUGUGACAAGAAACUGAGACAACAACACAAAAAUUUAAUAAAUGAUCAUAUAUAUAUAUAUAUAUAUAU